rnacentral:rRNA from 1 species
UUUUUGAAAAUAAUUUAAAGUAUGGCCUGCCCACUGAAAAUUUUGAAGGGCCGCAGUAUUUUGACUGUGCAAAGGUAGCAUAAUCAUUAGUUUUUUAAUUGAAAGCUGGAAUGAAUGGUUUAAUGAAAAAAUGACUGUCUCAAUUUAAUUUUUUUAGAACUUUAUUUUUAAGUUAAAAAGCUUAAAUAAAUUUAAAAGACGAGAAGACCCUAUAGAGUUUAAUUAUUAAGAAAAUAAAUUGAUUUAUAGAAAUUAUUUUAUUUAUUUUUUAAAUAAUUUGGUUGGGGUGACUAAAAAAUUAAAUAAACUUUUUUUAAUUUAUUACAUAGAUUAAUGAAUAUUUGAUCCAAUAUUUUUUGAUUAAAAGAUUAAAUUACCUUAGGGAUAACAGCGUAAUUUUCUUUAAAAGUUCAAAUUUAAAGGAAAGAUUGCGACCUCGAUGUUGGAUUAAAAUUUAUUUUUGGUGUAGGUGCUAAAACAUUAGGUCUGUUCGACCUUUAAAAUUUUACA